rnacentral:lncRNA from 1 species
GCAAAUUGACUCUUUUGGAACAUGACAUGGAACUACUUCAGACAUUGCCUUUCUCUUAUGAUCAAACUUUUCGAUCAUAGCAUGUCUUUCGUUGCCAUUGUCUAUAUCCAUAGAGGUCUUGAAGGCAGAUUCACCAAUCAACUUUGCUUUUCUAUUGCGCCAAACCAUUGCUGAUUCAGCAGCAAUAAGCAUAUAGGUGAGAUCUAUAAGGGUCACGUCGCGGUUCAUCAUAUAGUACUCUCUUACGAACUCACUAUAUGAGUUAGGAAGUGACUGAAGAACCCAAUCAACAGCCAUUUCCUCACAGACAACGGAUCCCAACAUUCUUAACCUAUCAAUGUGUGACUUCAUCCCUAGGACGUGUGCACACACCGACUUUCCUUCUUUAUGUUUACUUGCCAAAAGGGCUUGAGUGAUCUUGAACUUUUCAAGCCUUUGAACUUGUGGGUUAGGGAGAAUAAUUGGAGGAGGAGGAGGAAGUGAAGCAUGAUUUCUUGUUCCUCGAUCGAAUCGUGGAAUAUCAUCUUCAUGUGGAAUGCUUGUUCCACGGGAUUUGGGAAGACCAUAGUUGUCGAACUUUGACAUCUACAAAACGGGAGAAAACGAAUUCAAGUUAGUUGAUUGAUUGAGUCCUUAGUAAAUCACCCAAAUGAGAUACUAAGGCUAGGACCCAACACAAUAUUCUACAACUCGGGAGAGGGAUGCCGUAACCCUAAUUGCAGAAUAUUUGAAGGUAAGUGAAUGACGAUUCACUAAUUUCCACCAUGAAAAACGAAAAAGAAAUUUAAGUUUUAAAUCUAUGAAAACUCCUAGAUCCUUUGAGAUUCAUUGAACUUUCAAUGGCAUGUUUAAAUCUCGAUAUGCCCCUCUUGUUUGUGACUGGGAUGCCGAGGAUCACAAAGCGGGUGUGAAUAACCAUGCAAACUUACAUGGUGCCCUCACAUGUUACAGUCACCUAUUCGAUGUGCCGGUAAACCACACACGCUCCACCGAACUAUGACAAACAUUGAGUCACCCUUUGCUACCUUUGCUUAGAACCAUUUAGUGUGCCGGUUAACCACACACGCUCCACUAACGUCUUCGCAAGGGCACAAAGUGUAAUUUCAUGGAAUUGCAUCAAUUCACUUUUGCCUAAGUAACUAAGAUUGGGAAUUUUAUGAAAACAUUUAGUUACUUUAAUAAUUCAUUAUACUUAUAAUGGAAGGUUUCGUCCUAUCCUACCCGUUCGGCUAACGACCCUCCACUAGUCAAGAGUGCGGUGGGUAAGAGUGGAUACCCAUUCAAUCGCCAUUUUAUAGGCAAUUUCCUUAAACACCCCUUAUAGACCAGCUUCGUGAAUGAGGCCUACUAACGGUAAGACUGACUUUUACUCAUACAUAUAUAUAAUGUUAGACUUUUAAUGUUAUAUAUAGUAUAGGGUGUAUUUUAUACUUUUAAAAUACUAGGUGGUCUAAUUUAACAAUUAUACUUUUAAUUCAAUUAAAUUGUAAACCUAAACUUUUAUGGAUUUAUUAAACCUCUUUUAAUUAUACACCUUAAUUAAUUAAUAAAACCAUAAGGGUGUGAUUUGAACUUUUUCAAAACUAUACUAGAGUUUUAGAAUUUAACAUUCCUAAUUAAACUUUUAAUCAACUUUUAAAUUCCAAAACUUGAGGGCAAGUUUUGAAACAUUUCAACACAUUAGGGUUUAGAAUUUAAAUAUGCAUCAAAAUUAAACUAUUUAAUCAAAAUUUAAAUUCCAAAACUUGAGGGCAAGUUUUGAAACCUUUUUCAAAACAUUAGGGUUUCAACUAUUUAAAUUUCAAAACAACAAAACUUUUGGGGUUCAAAUUUAAACUAUAAAACCUAAAGGGCCAAAUAUGAAACUUUUCACAACAACAAGGAUCAAAUAACAAAUAAUUCAAAUUAACAUUUAAUCACAUAAUUAUCCAUAUUUGAUGAUUUCUUGCAAAAUAAUUUAUCAAUUUACUUAAAAUAAUUAAUCAAUUAUCUUAUAAGGAAACAAUUAUCUUAUUAAUUGAUAAAUAUCUUCAAUUAGAUUAAAAAUAUAGUCAAAUAUAUCAUAUAAUCGGAUUAAUAUUAAUCUAACAUGAUAAGGUAAUUAUCCCAAUGCAAAAACAGCAAGAAAUCCCGAGAUAAGCACUGUCUGACGCACCGACUCGCCGAGUCACCCUCUGGAACUCGCCGAGUAGGGCUGACUCGCCGAGUCCAAGAGUGACUCGCCGAGUCAGGUCGAACAGUGAGGCCAAAACACGAUUUUCAGUUACAUCAAGCAUCAAUACAAUAGAAACCAAUCAAGGCUCUGAUACCACUGAUGGGUUUUGGUCAUAAGACAUCCUAUGUGCUCAUACAAACCCUAAAGCUUGGAUCUAGGUUUCUCUAUUGUACAUACUUUGAAUCCAAGACUUUGAACCCUAAUUCUAGCAUAUGGAAAUCAGAAUUCACAUGUAAUUAGGUUUAAGAACAUACCUUGAUUGUUAUAUAGCAAUAACAAUCCAAUUCCUCCUUGAAUUGACCUUGGAAAGCUGAGAGUCACAAGUGUCACUCCUCUAAUGGCUUACAAACACCAUAAGCAAGUGGAGAAGGUAUAAAGAGAGAGGAGGGAGGUUAGAAUUCGUCCUUAGGACCUCUUGGGAAGGGUUGGACGAAUUCCUAAGCCCUAGGGGGUUUAUAUAGGUGUAAAGAUUAGGGUUUUAGUCCUUAUCCUUAUCUAGUUGCUUGUCCACCAAGCAACCAUAAGAUAAGUCCUAGAAAUCCUUAUCCUAGUCGAAUUCUAAGGGAUUUACACCUCAAAUUCGUUCACCAUAUAUAUAAGAUAAUCCUUACCUUAUUUUGUAACUAUCACAUAAUUACAAUUCAGCCCCUCUAGUUUAAUUAAUUACACUUGAUCACAAAAUUAAUUCUUAAUUAAUUAUUGACCAAUAUUAAUUAAACAAAUAUGAUUUCUCCUUUAAUAUAUUAUUCUUAUAACAUAUUAAUAAAUCAUAAUAACCUCUCUCUCUAUUUAUUUCUCCAAUCAAGUUGCUUUGGUGAAGGCAACCCAAAAGGACCAUGCACCAUCGGGUCAAGUACAUACCAAAAUAGUUAUGGACUUAGACACUAAUCCAACAGUCUCCCACUUGGAUAAGUCUAACAACUAUUCUGCGUAUGACUUCGGAUCCCGAUCUGCAAUCGUAGCUUUCCAAAGCCGCUGUCAACUCUGAUCAUAUCAGAUACGCGUGUCCUUAGAUAAGGGAUCAUAUAUUCCUCCAUUCUAGAUAUCAUAUGAGAUAUGAUUUCAAAUCAUUCUCUUUGUACUAUAUCUCGAUUUCCGAUUUAUGACGACUGACUAAUUGAACAAAUCAAAUUAGCCCUAGCCCGGCCGAGCAUUUACGUUUGUCAUCACUAAACCAUCGAGGGGCCCAAAGAUAUCGCUUUUAUCCUACUUUGGAUAAAAGGAACGGAUAAACUUUGAUACAAUGCUUGCUUGCACUCACUCACCGAAUCACACACAACAAUAUGUUUUAUAACACCAAGUUACUAGUGCGUUUACAUAUUAUCAAUGUGCAACCGAUUUGCAAGAUACAACUCACACAUCUCGGUUUCAAGAAUAUAAGAUGUUAUCGUCUCACCAAUCACUCGUGAUACAAUUCAUGGAGUGAUCCAAGUGAGCGUGGGUUUAAUCCAAUGCUCAAAUCAUAUUCAUAAGCACUCAUGAACGUUGCAGCAAACAUUUGCUUAUGUCUAAUACUCUUUUAGACAAUCCACACACCAAUUCACGACAGUCUUCAUUCAUAUCUACUUCCAACAUAUGAACGACUGUGGCCCGUUUGAAUAAUUCGAUUAUUCUUAAUAAACUCAAUUAUUCUGGAAGUCAAAACAUGCAAAUGUGAAACACAAGAAUAAUACUAAUCCCAUAUGGCCUCAAACCUUUGAGUAUAAAUAAAACACCUUUUAUUUAUCACCAUAUUGAUUACUCAUUAUUUGUCGUUUCGGGUAAUCAACUUCUUACUUGAAUUCCAACACUUGUCCCAUGCUCCUAGCAUGCACACAAUGUUUACCUAUGGUUCUUACUUUGUGAAAUAGAUCACAUUGAACACAUUUCCAAUCCUUCUCAUUUCACAACUCCAAAUCCGUUUUUCAUAAGUCAAAGAAUAUCAAAUUCUUGCUACUUAUAGAAUAUGCUAGAUUCUAACAUUCUAUGCAACUAUCCUUUCGUAAUGUCACUGCACCAAAGUCACAAAGACUAUUGCCAAUGAUAUUACAAAGUCCUCUAUCGGAGAUUGUUACAAGACAAUUCCAUAGACGUGAUGUCUCUCACUCAAAGUACAUUCUUUGAACAUCCUUUUGCAUAGAAGUUUCUAAUCUAGUCAUAGAUUUCUCAAUAUUCAAUUCCCAAUAUGGACACACUUCCAUAUGUUCCAUAUGACAACUCAUUCUUAAUAGAAUCUUAUCUAUUCGUAAUGAUGUCGAUAUGGUCCAUCCAAUAUGGAAACAUUUCCAUAUUUUCCAAUACUAUACUUCCAACUACUCACAAGCGACCAAUCCUCGUCGAACUUUGGAUUGUCCUUUGAUAGUUGUUUAAUUAUUUUAGUCAAAACCAAUUCUAGUCCCUUUUCCCUCUAAAUGCGCUCGACAUUUGGAAAAUUUUAGAAUGGUCAAACAUUAAAGCAUUUGCAAUCGAUCCUAUACCCGAAGCGUAUGGGACACGACGCAUAAUGUUUUAUUUGCUAUGUUCUCAAAAUUCGAAUUGUGAAGAGGGAUGCCGUAAUCAUAAUCGAAAUUUUAAGAACACACUAUGUACCUUUGACUAAAUUUAUUAACAUUUCUCAACCUAAUCCUUUAGAUUUGAAAUGAAGCAUAAUAUUCUCUCCCUUAAUUAUAGCAAAACAACCUUUCAACUCUUACAACUUUGCAAAGUAUGACUCUUGUUUUCUAUAAUUAAUAUUGCUAACCUUGCAAUACUUUCCUUAAUAAUCAUACAAUCAUAACAUUUAUGCUCCCACUAUCAUGAUGAUUAUUAUAAAACAUAACACUUAUGCUCCCACUAGCUUCGACAUGUAUUCAUAAACAUCUUAACUUUCAGAAAACAAUACUUAUUGAAUUUCUUAAGUUCAUGUUUCUAAUACUUAGUGCUUUGAUAAUCCUUUAUCAAUGCUUCUUGAACUUAUACACCUUUGCCUUCGAUAGUUCAUAUGUGUGUCUAAACAAUUAAGACUAAUUGCCAAACCUCACAAUUCAAAUUAUGGAAAGGGAUACCGUAACCAUAAUCGAAUUCGAGAAUGCAAUUUUACAAUCACUAUCUUCUUAAAAUCUUUCUUAGUGAAAGCAUUUCCUCACAAUCAUUUUCAUGAAGGAGGAAAUCUUAUGACACUUAGAUUUAAACGGUGUAUGUGUUCCUAUCCAUGUGAAUUUGUUAAAACCAAAGUUUACGACAAAUUCAAACUCAUAUGGACCGAACUUUCUUAAUCUUGAUUUCUUGCCUUAUGGUAGCACAGCUGCCCACCAUGUCUUCCAAGUAGUUAAGCAGCUCACCCUUUCCUAUCAAUGUACCUUUCAUUGAUUAAGGUGCUUUGCCUUUUAUGCGUUCAAAAUGAGAACUCAUAGAACUCACAUGCAUAAUUAACUCGAUUGGAUUGGCACAGAAACAAAAUAAUGUCAACACGAUAGGUUGUAAACCUCAACUCGUGUGCUAGUGAUGAUCGAUAAGGUUUAUUUGAUUUGUUCUUGAAACCUUUCAAGACCAUUAAGACUCCCACUGACUCCUUGACAUAUAAGAUUCUCUUGUCAAUAAACAUUUCUUGACAAACAAAUAUUCAAGAGUUAGUGUAGCUUUUAUCAAAACACUUCAUAAAUUGGUCCUAGUUGGUCUUUGUCUUAUCCAAGACAUCACAACUUUCCACAUUUGAUGAAUGUUAUAAACCUUCUUAAUACUUUUCACUCAAUGUCACAAUCUUAACUCUAAGACUUGUUUUGGAACGAAGUAUGAUUGACUUCUUGAUUUAACCAUUUCUUCAAUUCUUGAUUCCUCUUCUUAGACAUACAAUUGUACUAAGACUCACUUAGAGGAUCAAUUGAGAUAUGGUUCUUAAUCAUUAAGACCUAUCAUAAAGCAUAAAAGGUACUCUCCCUUCUUCUUAGAAUGGAGAAACUUUUAUCUUUCUGCCUACUUGAUUCUUCUUAUUCGUUCUGCUAUUGAUUUAAACUUUUUCAAUCAAUUCAGAAUUACACUUAAUCUUGUAAGUAUAAUCAUAUUUACUAAACCUUUAGUAAAUCAUGACGAAUAUCUUUGUUACUCUUAUGGUGGACUUGAUCAACACGCAACUUUGUGUACUCGAUCUCCUAGUCCUUCACUUGACACUUUGUCAAUGAAUUAGUCUAAUUUCCAAAUAUGAAAUUUCUCAUUCAUCGUGCAACCAAGUUGCAUGAUUCCAAGUUUCUGUCCAAUUGAAACUUGGGCGAUGAGAAACUCUCCCUAUUUGGUAAACUCUCGACUUUCCAUAAAUAACAUAAUAAGAACCAAAUCCAUUAUUGCUAAUAAUAGAAACAUUCAAACAUCAAUUUUUCAUAUACGCCAUUGCAAGGAUAAAUAAAUAAUAUAAAAUCAAAAUUUAUUUUAUUGCGAAAAAAUUUGUCCUUACAAUGCAAUUCAUUGAAAAACUAUGCUAAUACAUCUUUCUUAGCAAUCUAAUUCUAACUCUAAGUAGUAGCUCAAGAAUCUAAUCUUCGAGAAAUGCGAUCGAAAUCCAUUCCUUCACGGUUAGAUUCUGCUCACUUCUUCCCUUAAGCUUCCUUUCUUUUCUUCGAUCCUACAAAACAUCAAUUGUAAUCUUAUCACAUUAUGUAUUAAGAAUCUAGAAUAGAAGCUUAAAAGAGUUAGUUAAUGGAUUUUACCUAUAUUAGAGCCAUACGUUUCGACUCUCCCAUCUCUUAGAUCUCUUAGGUAAAUGGGGCAGCUUCGUCUCCAAUGCCCUUUCUCUUGGCAAUAAAAGCAAAUUGACUCUUUUGGAACAGGACAUGGAACUACUUCAGACAUUGCCUUUCUCUUAUGAUCAAACUUUUCGAUCAUAGCAUGUCUUUCGUUGCCAUUGUCUAUAUCCAUAGAGGUCUUGAAGGCAGAUUCACCAAUCAACUUUGCUUUUCUAUUGCGCCAAACCAUUGCUGAUUCAGCAGCAAUAAGCAUAUAGGUGAGAUCUAUAAGGGUCACGUCGCGGUUCAUCAUAUAGUACUCUCUUACGAACUCACUAUAUGAGUUAGGAAGUGACUGAAGAACCCAAUCAACAUCCAUUUCCUCACAGACAACGGAUCCCAACAUUCUUAACCUAUCAAUGUGUGACUUCAUCCCUAGGACGUGUGCACACACCGACUUUCCUUCUUUAUGUUUACUUGCCAAAAGGGCUUGAGUGAUCUUGAACUUUUCAAGCCUUUGAACUUGUGGGUUAGGGAGAAUAAUUGGAGGAGGAGGAGGAAGUGAAGCAUGAUUUCUUGUUCCUCGAUCGAAUCGUGGAAUAUCAUCUUCAUGUGGAAUGCUUGUUCCACGGGAUUUGGGAAGACCAUAGUUGUCGAAAUUUGACAUCUACAAAACGCGAGAAAACGAAAUCAAGUUAGUUGAUUGAUAGAGUCCUUAGUAAAUCACCCAAAUGAGAUACUAAGGCUAGGACCCAACACAAUAUUCUACAACUCGGGAGAGGGAUGCCGUAACCCAAAUUGCAGAACAUUUGAAGGUAAGUGAAUGACGAUUCACUAAUUUCCACCAUGAGAAACGAAAAAGAAAUUUAAGUUUUAAAUCUAUGAAAACUCCUAGAUCCUUUGAGAUUCAUUGAACUUUCAAUGGCAUGUUUAAAUCUCGAUAUGCCCCUCUUGUUUGUGACUGGGAUGCCGAGGAUCACAAAGCGGGUGUGAAUAACCAUGCAAACUUACAUGGUGCCCUCACAUGUUACAGUCACCUAUUCGAUGUGCCGGUAAACCACACACGCUCCACCGAACUAUGACAAACAUUGAGUCACCCUUUGCUACCUUUGCUUAGAACCAUUUAGUGU